rnacentral:ncRNA from 1 species
UUAAAUAGGUUAGAAAUGGGUUUAAUAGAUACUUAAGGUUUAUUAAUUAAAAGGGAAGUGGGUUUGAAUCCCACGCGGUCCCGCCGCUGUAAUAGAUGAGUUUCUACAAUUGUCCACUGGGAAACUGGGAAGGAAGUAGAAAUGAUGACGCUUAAGCCAGAAUACCUGCCUGUUUUAAUGUACUAAU